CUGCUGCCUCCCGUAGGAGUCUGGUCCGUGACUCAGUACCAGUGUGGGGGACCUUCCUCUCAGAACCCCUACGCAUCGUCGCCACGGUGGGCCGUUACCCCGCCGUCUAGCUAAUGCGCCGCAUGCCCAUCCUCUUCCGAUGAAUCUUUCCUCGAUCUCGGAUGCCCGAAACCGAUAUACGCGGGAUUAGCCUCCCUUUCGGAAGGUUGUCCCCCUGAAGAGGGCAGGUUGCAUACGUGUUACUCACCCGUGCGCCGGUCGCCGG
rnacentral:rRNA from 1 species